GGUGCCAUCGCAUGGAGAUACUGGUUCUGGAGUGUGACUCUGGUAUUCUGUGUGCCAAGCCAAAUGGGAACCAAACAGAUCUGUAGUGCUGGCUUCCUCACCCUGGACUGCUGCUCUCCCAGUGUAACCUCAUGAGAGAAUUAAGGGUACCCGAAGAAGAGGCAUUGCAGAGUUGGAGGUACAGAGCACGGACAAGACUGGAAUUCCUACCUGUUAAAUGGGAGUGUGAUGAACAUUUAAUUCCGGGACAAUGAAGUCCUUAUCUCAUGAACAAUUAUUACAACAGAUUUCCUAAUACCUGAAAUUUCAAGAUAAGAGUGUUGAUUAGAAAGGAACAGACAACUCUGGUCACAGAACUUGCAGUUUUGCCGCAUGACAACUUUCCAGGGGCUCUCUACAGCUCCAGUGAACUCCAGAACCUGUGUGCUCUCACCAGAAUCCACCUGCUGGUGUUGCCAACCGACUGACUCAGUGAGCUUUGAAUGAACUGGUGUUCCCUCCAUGGUCAAUAUCUGGAUUCAAGUCAGGUGUCUCCUAUCCUCU